CCAGACUCCUACGGGAGGCAGCAGUGGGGAAUAUUGCACAAUGGGGGAAACCCUGAUGCAGCGACGCCGCGUGAAGGAAGAGGUAUUUCGGUAUGUAAACUUCUAUCAGCAGGGAAGAAAAUGACGGUACCUGACUAAGAAGCCCCGGCUAACUACGUGCCAGCAGCCGCGGUAAUACGUAGGGGGCAAGCGUUAUCCGGAUUUACUGGGUGUAAAGGGAGCGUAGGCGGUUUAGCAAGUCAGAAGUGAAAGCCCGGGGCUCAACUCCGGGACUGCUCUGGAAACUGUCCGGCUGGAGUGCAGGAGAGGUAAGUGGAAUUCCUAGUGUAGCGGUGAAAUGCGUAGAUAUUAGGAGGAACACCAGUGGCGAAGGCGGCUUACUGGACUGUAACUGACGUUGAGGCUCGAAAGCGUGGGGAGCAAACAGGAUUAGAUACCCGGGUA
rnacentral:rRNA from 1 species